ACAAAUACCGCUGCAAACAACCCCAUCGUUCACUCACACAACUAAACACAUAAAGUUAGCUAAAUAAUCGCGUAGGCUGUCAAGCAAGUUAAAACGUAGACAAAAACAUCGAAAUUAUAGUUGAAAGCUUAAGUUACUAUACUUAAAGCACACCGCCUACGAUACAGUGUGUCACAAAAUUAUUGGCACACAUGCACCGAAGUGAGCGCCAUCUUAGCAUGAGGACAAUCAUAUGUAGUGCAAUACUAAUUCUGUACAAAGAAACAAGCUUCUAGUCCUUGAAAAAGGUAAAAUAUAUUACCGAAACCGUCGGAUGUAGAUGCGAAA